ensembl:ncRNA F53F8.9 ncRNA
CCAAAAAAGGGGUGUGGUGACACCAGACCGGUCACUCCUAUGAUAACAAACAGAAAACUUGAGCAAACUUU